UUAACUGACUGAGCCACCCAGGCGCUCCUCUUUUUUGUUGUUAUUCUAACAAAUCAACUUUAUCAAGUCUUUCUUCAGCAUAAAAUUUCCUUCUGUGGAAACUCAGUAGUCUUUACAUUCUAAUCUGACCACUUGGUGUGACACUUAUUAAAUGAAACAGUAAUAAUAAGAACUAACAUUUGUGUGAUAUUAACAUAGUAAAUGCUUGGUAGACAGCAAUUCAGCAAGUGGGGUCAAGUGAACAAAUACACCUGAGAAUAGCUCAGACGCCAAUUGCUUACAGAAUACAGUGGGCAUUAGUCACUAUAUUUUAUGGAGAGAAUGAGAACUUUACCUAAUCCAGUGAGGUUAAAGGGUUGCUACUCUACUAUGAAACUGUCAUCUUAAGAUAUUUGGAGCCUUUGUGCUGUUUCAUACUUGAACUUGAGAGAUCUACGUUUAUAAUUUAUAAAUCUAAUACUUCUAUCAUCCACUGAACCUCUAUUUUUCAGGAAGUAUCAUUAAUACUAAAUAGUUUAGGGGGGGAAAUCACAUAACAAUUCUCAACAAGUCUUUAAUACCCAGAGAUUACAUUUUAUAGUAUCAGAUGAAUCCAAGUGUUACAUAAAUUAAACAUAGGACUUAACUCUCGAAGCAGUGUGAUUUGUUUUUCUGAUAUACUGUUACACUCUAUGGCUUGGCAGUUUGAAAGCAAAUGUGGAGAUCUAAUCUAUGGGAACAGAAAUCAGAAAAGUGGUGACCUGUGGGGUGGAGACAGGGUUGCCGGAAAGGGACUCAAGAGAAUCACCUUGGGUGGUAGAAACGGUCUAACUCCAGAUUAGGGUGUGCAUUCCACAGGGAUGGCUAUGUGACCUAGAUCCCCUCCCCCCGCCCCACUUCCGUGCCCCCUCCAGGGCUGUGGAUGCCCACUGCCUUUUCAGUUCACCCAUUCUUGCUACCUGCCUCCCGCCCUCUGCCAGAACUGUUCAUGAGUAACACGUCAGCAGCCACAGCAUGGCUUUCCCACAUGCAUAUCUGGCCAGAACAGGACAGGAACUGAAUCUGUGAUAAAAAUGUGUCUUAGAAAUUGACACUGACAUGAGCUGAGCCCCUAUAUGUGUUUUAAAACCAUCUGUUGGACUACUUCACGCUGAGGGUUGACAGAUCACAUUCCAUUUCUUCCAUUCUGCUCAGAAAAGUGGUGGGGCCAAGUAAGGACAAGGCAGUAACACAUCACUUGCCUACACGGGCUAAGCAUGCAUUUCAAAGAUAAAUACAAAAAUCUCCAACCAGUGCUGAAAAGCAUGCAUUUUCAUCCGAGACAGGCUGAUUACAGCCUCACCAGCAGGGCUGUGUGUUGAUCCCCAUUCAGUAACACUCUGGACGCCUUUGUUCCAGCAUUUCCCAGCAGUGAAAACAUAAUGGAAAAGAAACUGCCAAAUGACAGCUCUCGCGGCUGCUGCCGCUUUACCUCUUUUUCUAUAUAUGAAAAAUAAUCGUGAAGGGGGAAAAUAAAGUGAGGAGGGCUAUAAAAGAAGACGGAGGGCAACUAGAUCAAGCAAAUCUAGAUAAUCUGAAGUACAGGAGGCUUUUGCAAAUAUUUUGUGGUUCGCUCUUCUUUUUUAAGGAAAUGAGCAAUAAAACAAAAGUAAAGAGGGGGGAAAAGAUGUUCGUAGCGGCGACUGCUGCGAAGUGUGAAAUCAGCGUUUCAGCCUAAGCUUCACCUCCCAGUGGUGGACUGAGCUGUUCUUACGGAACAUCUGUGAAAACGGGUGUGAUUGAAGGGAAUACAUUCCCGACUGCCCUCAAGACUGUCUAAUAGUAAAACUGCACUUUUAGGAUGAUAAAGACACGUUCUAACCCCAUUUUAAAACAAUAAUCCUACAAGGACACACACACAUGAUAGGAGUCUUUAUAAAUCAACAAGCAAACAGUCCAUGUGGGCUCAAGCAUAGCUAGCAACGUCAUUGUGCUUCUCUUCUGCCAUUUUUCACGUUAGGGACGGGAUGCUCUGGUUAGGCCCCGUUCCCCUGUUUGCUUCCUCUUCGCCGUAGCCCUUGUUGUCAUGCGUGAGAAAGUCACACGUACACUCAAUGCAUCCAUUAUGGCCACCAGUGAAUUCUAAAUCAGUUCCGUUUAGAAAUAUAUUUUUUCAAAACAAGUCAACACGUUGCCAACAGGAAAGCCGUAUUUUAAUUUAGAAAGCAGACUAAAACACACAGACAGGGCAGAGGAGAUCUAUCGGACUCCCUCGUGCUCUGUGCUGUGAGGAUUGGGGGUGGAACUGUCACAGCGAGGAGGCUCUCAGAGAAGCAGAGAUGGGAUUCCAAGCCAGCACUAGCUCCCCUGGGGUCUGUUGUAAUCAGGAGAGAAAUGAUCUGUACUCAGUAGCCUGUAUUCAUUCUUUUGCAAGGGGCUGCCAAAGCGAACUUUCCUACGCUUUUGUGGAAAUACAGUACGAGUCUUUUCCCCCCACCGCUUUCAGCUGCUUUAGGACAAGGAGGGGGAAAAAAAAAAGCCCACUGCUGACAAACACUGCUUUGGGCAUUUGACACUGGCCUCUGAUCUAGUUACUCAGACAGUUCAAAAUAAACAAACUAGGUGUUUACAACAAAAGACAUUCAGCCCAUUCAAGUGCCAAGCCAGCCGGAUGGACAGUCUUCUCGAACAGAGCUGGGGAAUGUCUCUGCCAGGCCAGACCUGCGCUGAGACUUGAUUUCCCCCACAGACGUUAAUAAAUUAGGACACCGUUUCUGUGAAUUAAAGAAGUAAAGAAAACAGGGGGUUGGGAGUCCACAAAGUAAAAUCUAUACCAUGUGGAGUUUGAGUCAGGACGCUGCAGAUCGCUCAAGCUGGAGGCACACAGGGACGUCUCUUAGUUUUUCAUGGGUGGUUUCAUUACGGGACCCGCACAGAAAAAGCUUUCAUUUUCAUUUCUGCCCCAGGACCACGGCACCCAUCCAGUCUGUACGUCACAGAGAAAAGGACACAUCUUUAUCCUAUUAUGUAAAUUCAGCUGUUAAAAGUAUUCUAACGUUAUUCUCAAAGAGAGGAGGAAAACUGGGUGUCUCGGUGUCAUUUCUAUUUAUAGAAGAGAAUGGUUUUGUUCCCUUGACUUAAGUGUCUGUUUUAUUCCAUUUGAAAACAGUGCGUCUUAGGAAAGAACUCUUUGCCUCGGUUUCUUCUUUGUGAAAUGAAGUGUUUGCACUAUGAGACGGUUUGUUAAAAGCUUACUCAGUCUAUGAUUAAUGAAGGACCGCCUAUAAAUAGAAUAUGUAAUUUGCAGCAUGUUUUUCUAGUAGGGGACGCCUGGGCUCUUUUUAAUAAUAUUUUAUGAUGUUUAGAAAAGCAGGCACCGUCUCAGCAACUGUGCCCAGCAGCAGUGGGCUUUGAGGUCUGCUAUGUCAUGUAAGGCGUGACAUAUGGAACGUGCCGGAAAGUGUUGCCCUAAAAUCACAUUUCAUUUUCAGCAAGCAGUGGGGAGUGGGAAAGGGAAAGUGAGUGGAGGAAAAGAAAGAAAUCUGUUAGCACAGAUCCAAAUAUCCCCUAGAAUCGAAAUGUCAGACUUGAAAAUACCAAGUGAACCAGCUUGUCUAAUAUGUUACCAUCCUGGCUUAUAAUUACCGGAAAGUAGUUAUUUAUCUGUUGUGUUCAGCUACCCUGUCAGUACUCCUGAGUUUAAUUAUCAGACUUCACUGAAAGUUCAAUUUCCUCGGUUCCCUCCUCUUUUUGCAACAAAAUACAUCGGAAUUUCUUCAUGGUUUCUGUUAACUGUUUUGGCACACCUUCUCUCACAUCCCCCCUUCCCCCACCAGCGGGCGGCCUGCUCCCUCCUUUCUCAAAGGAGGCAGCUGUUUGGCGCAGUUUCAAUCUCCACAAGCGUGACUGCUUGGUAUAUCAAAGUUCAGAGCCUCUUGUCCAUCAACUCGGCGAGAAGGAGAAGCCUCUCCAAGAGGCUGUUUGCUAGCUAGCUUCAGCUCCAUGGAACAUAAGGGCUUCAAGCGUCUGCCUGUGGUGGUCCAGCCCAGCCAGGGAAUUCUAAGCCACUCCAAAUAAGGGGCCCCUGGAAGUAAAACAAACAGUUCUUACCAUGCCCUCCCCUCUUCUCCUCCAGGGCAAGGGAUCCUUCCCGUGAAAAGGAUCUUGUUCUGGGUGUGAGUCUUCCAUGAAGUCCGUUUGUAGAAACAGCCUUGACUGUGAGACACAAGAGCUGGUGGUGAGACCGAAUCCAGCCCUGAGGAGAAACGUGGUUACUUGGGGCAAGCUAUCAUUACAAGGUCUGCUGAGAAUCUGAACUCACCUUGUGGAAAGCAUCCUACAUAGAAGUAAAUAAUCAGACGAUAGCGAUGUUUGUUGAUGUUUAUUUGUAGUUGGGCUCCACAGCAACUGAAAUCUUCUCUUAGUCGGUUUCUCGGAAUCUGAGGUAUGAUCUUCUCCAUCACCAAAGGCUAGUGGCAGUCAAUGAGCAUAGACUUUGAAAUCCCAGCUCUGCCACUGACCAUCUCUGGGACCUUGGACAAAUCACCUGACUCUUGUCAUGGCCUCGGUAUUCUCCAGAGAGCGAAAUAAAUAAAAGGUCCAACCUUGUGGGGAUGUUAGAUAUCAUAAUAUAUAAAUGUAUUAUAUGCUGGAUAUUUAGAACAGUGUCUGACACAUAGUAAAUGCUAGGAAGGGUCAGAUACAGCUACUAUUAUUAUUAUUAUUAUUAUUAUUAUUAUUAUUAUAGAGUAUUUCGUUUUCUGUACUGUUUCCCCUUCCCCAUAAUUCCUGGCAUAUUGCCUUAAUUUAUUCAGAGUAAGCUUUCAAUAAAUACAGAUUGAUUAAUAA